CUCUUUCCUGCAUUUGCAUAAUUUCCUCCGCCGUAUUCUGAUGUAUACUUGUGAAUAAUAAAGCUCAUGGGCGCGCCGUGCGAGCCUGUCACUGUUCAUUACUGCCGUGCGGCGCAAACCCAGGCUCCGCAGGGCUCUCAUUAGACAUUCCACACAGAAGAAAGGCCUCUCCCUCUCUCUUGCUCUGUCUCUCUCCCUUGCAUUCUGUUUCUCUAUCAUUCUCUCUCUCUGUUAAGUCCCUUACUCUGUUUCUCUCGCUUUAUCUCUCCCCUCUGUCUCUCUCUUACUCACUGUUUCUCACACUCCCUCACUCUCUAUUCCUCUCACUUUCUCUCCCUAACAUUCUGUUUCUCUCACUCCAUCUCUCCUUUCUCUCUUUGCUGUCCCUCUCUUACGUUCUGUUUCUCUCUCUCACUCUGUCUCUCUCCCUAACAUUCCGAUUCUCUUACUUUCUCACCGUCUCUCCUUUCCCACUUUCCUUCUCUUUAACUCUGUCUCUCUCGCUCUGCCUCUGUCACUGUCUCUCUCCCUUACAUUUGUUUCUUUCAAUUGCUCUCUUUUCUGUCUCCCUCCUUUCUCUCUUGUUCUGUCUUUUCCCUUUAAUUAUGUUUCUCUCACAUCUCCCCUUUCUCAUUCUCUGUAUUUUCCUUACUCUCUGUUUCUCUCACUCUAUCCCUCACCCUCGCGAUCUGUCUCUCUCCCUUACAUUUGAUUUCUCUCGCUCCCCUUACUUUAUCUCCCCCGUCUCUUCUUUCAUCUAUGGUACUCUCUCUCACUCAAUGUUUCUCCCCUCUCUGUCUUCUCUUUUAUUAGCACUUUCCCUAAUUCUCUUAUUUUAUCUGCGUCUUCCCCUCUGCCCUAUCCCUUCCUUAUUGGCUCUAUAGCAUCCUUUCUUUCAUCCUCCCUUUCUUUCAGUCUAUUUUCUUCUCUCCCACUCCUCGUUCUCUCUCUCUCCAACAGAACACAGUGGCCUGCGUCAUCCUCUCAGUGUCAGGCAGAGGGAGACAGGGAGACAAGCAGGCUUCCAUGUCUUCUCCCUGGCACCUCCUCAAUGUCCACCUCUACUUCAGACUCUGAGGCCUCAUCUUCACUGUCACUGUCCAAGCUUGUUGAGGAUGGCUCAUUGUCCGGAUGGCCACCAAUUUUUCAACCCUUGUAUUGGUCAGCCUGUUGAGUGAUUCGGUAUUCCCAAACAAGGACCAGUGGAGCUCUGAGGUGGCUGAUGUUGGUGGAAUUUGGAGGAUGAUGGAGGCAACAGGGGAAAGAGCCUCAGAUCCACAAAGUCGAUCAUCAAAGGUUAUUGUCCUGCUGAAAGGUGAAUUCGUCUCCAGUGUCUGUUGGAAAGCAGACUGAACCAGGAUCCAUCUAGGUUUUUGCCUGCGCUUAGCUCUAUUCCAUUUAUUUUAUCAUGAAAAAACUCCCAAGUCCUUGCCGAUGACAAGCAUACCUAUAACAUGAUGCAGCCGCCACCAUGUUUGAAAAUAUGAAGAGUGGUACUCAGUGAUGUGUCGUGUUGGAUUUGCCCCAAACAUAACGCUUUGUAUUCAGGACAUAAAGUACAUUUCUUUGCCACAUAUUUUGCAGUUUUACUUUAGUGCCUUAUUGCAAACAGGAUGCAUGUUUAGGAAUAUUUUUAUUCUGUACAGGCUUCCUUGUGUUCACUCUGUCAAUUAGGUUUGUAUUAUGGAGUAACUACAAUGUUGUUGAUCCAUCCACAAUUUUCUCCUAUCAAAGCCAUUAAACUCUGUAACUGUUUCAAAUUCA